GUUUCUAAGUCCAACGUCAAAUCCCAGGGCUCAACCCUGGACAGGCAGUGGAAAUUACCAAGCUAGAGUAUGGUAGGGGCAAAGGGAAUUUCUAGUGGAGCAGUGAAAUGCAUUGAGACCGAAAAGAACACCAACAGCAAAAGCACUCUGCUGGACCGACACUGAC
rnacentral:ncRNA from 1 species